rnacentral:rRNA from 1 species
GACGAACGCUGGCGGCAUGCCUAACACAUGCAAGUCGAGCGGACCUUUCUGGUUCUUCUGCGGACGGGUGAGUAACGCGUGGGAAUAUUCCCUUCUCUACGGAAUAGUCCUGGGAAACUGGGGGUAAUACCGUAUACGCCCUUUUGGGGCAUGAUUUAUCGGGGAAGGAUUAGCGCGCGUUGGAUUAGGUAGUUGGUGAGUUAAUGGCCUACCAAGCCUACGAUCCAUAGCUGGUUUGAGAGGAUGAUCAGCCACACUGGGACUGAGACACGGCCCAGACUCCUACGGGAGGAAGAAGGGGGGAAUCUGAGACGAUGGGGGCAAGAAUGAGCUAGCCAGGCCGCGUGAGUGAGGAGGGAGUUAGGGUUGUAAAGCUGUGUGAGAUGGGAAGAUAAUGACGGUACCAGCAGAAGAAGCCACGGCUAACUACGUG